rnacentral:lncRNA from 1 species
AAAAUGUCUUCUUUUUAAUUGUUUUACAUGAGACAUUUCUUAUUAUAUUGGGACUAGUCCGCAUUCACUCAAACAGCUGCACUGUUGCUGCCCUCUAAGAGUUCCUGCUGGUUCAGGUUGCUGCUGAAGGAGUGGAUCUGUGGCUCUGGAGAAGUUGUGACCAUCCAUGACUCACCAGUGACAAGACCGUCUAUUCAUCACCUGUGCUGAUCACAAAUUGGCAUCGCGUGAGGAAAAUGCCCUGCAUGAUUUAACUGAUUUCAUGGAGUGGACACACCUUGUUGCUGGGGCACGUGAGACCCAGCGGGCCAGAACAUCUGUGGGGCUCAAAGGGACAGACAGGCUGGGGUCAGACGUCUGGUGCUAAACGCUUCUGGGAAAGGAAGGCACCGGACCGUAGGAAUGACCCGUCUAGGAACUUCCUUCAAACUGCACGCAGAGAGAUACAAAUGGUAUCCACAAG